rnacentral:sRNA from 1 species
AAUGAAUGAAUAUUCUCUGUCAAAAGUUUAGCACCUUUUAUGCUUCUUCUCUCUCUCUCUUUUUCUCCACGAUGUUUUUGGUGCAUGUUUAAUUUCUGUAUGACACACUUAUUCAUGUGACCAAAAGGCACCUGACGUUAUAAAUUUUUUAUCGAUAUGAAAAAAACCCCUUAUACUCUAUACCUAAUAUUACACGUGUAUUUUAGGUACAUGUAGAGGGCAUAGAUUUUUUAUCAUGAAAAAAAAAAUAUAUGUCAGGUGCUUGUGACGUGACCCAAUUAUUCAUGUGACCUACUUCUGUCAUUUGAACUUUCGUGGUUGUGUUAACUAAAGAUAUACAUUUGCAAAUUUAUUACUGGGCAUUAUUGUACACAUGUGUAGAUUAAAUUGUUAAUUAUAU